rnacentral:tRNA from 1 species
AGAGCUUUAGGUUAUGUUUAGACUUGUUGUUUUCAAAACAAUAGGAAGUGUUUUGCUAUGCUCUG